rnacentral:lncRNA from 1 species
UCUCUUCAUGGUUGGGAGUACAUCUCUCUUCCUCAAAUCUUUUUGAUCCAAGGGCAACAGCCAUGGUGGCUGUGCCCUCUCCUUCCCCAACCCGACAACAACUCGGCCACCAUUGGCCGAACCAUCAUCGGCCACCACUCCGGCGAUGAUGGCCGGCCAAGAGAGGGAGGAAAAGGUGGUCCCUUCCUCUUCUUCUCCCAAGAACAGGCAGGGCCUCAUUCCUCCCUUCCCCCUCCUUCAUCAUCCACGGAAGACCCGCACGGCUCCUCACAGCCACCGUGAUGGUGGCUCGGCCCCCCACCCAACGGCACCCAACCGCCGUCGUCGCCGCCGGUGGCCAACCGACGAGGGGAAGAGGAGGAGAGGAUGGGAUCCCGAGGAAGAAGACCUCGGAUCCACCCUCCCUCAUCACAUACACAGCCUAGAAAACCCUCUCUGACCCCCUCACAGACCCGAC